rnacentral:rRNA from 1 species
GGGGCAGCAUGAACUUAGCUUGCUAAGUGUGAUGGCGACCGGCGCACGGGUGAGUAACACGUAUCCAACCUGCCGAUGACUCGGGGAUAGCCUUUCGAAAGAAAGAUUAAUACCCGAUGGCAUAGUUCUUCCGCAUGGUAGAACUAUUAAAGAAUUUCGGUCAUCGAUGGGGAUGCGUUCCAUUAGGUUGUUGGCGGGGUAACGGCCCACCAAGCCUUCGAUGGAUAGGGGUUCUGAGAGGAAGGUCCCCCACAUUGGAACUGAGACACGGUCCAAACUCCUACGGGAGGCAGCAGUGAGGAAUAUUGGUCAAUGGACGAGAGUCUGAACCAGCCAAGUAGCGUGAAGGAUGACUGCCCUAUGGGUUGUAAACUUCUUUUAUACGGGAAUAAAGUGAGGCACGUGUGCCUUUUUGUAUGUACCGUAUGAAUAAGGAUCGGCUAACUCCGUGCCAGCAGCCGCGGUAAUACGGAGGAUCCGAGCGUUAUCCGGAUUUAUUGGGUUUAAAGGGAGCGUANGCGGACGCUUAAGUCAGUU